AUCUUUCCCUGACCAAAAGUUCUAGUCGAUUUAAGCUAAUAUUCUAUUAGGUGACAAAAUGGUUCGUCAUACGCCUGAAUAAAUCUUCUCAACAAAGAAUAAUAUCUUUGCACCGAUAAAUGGUCGUGGCCGCGAGCAGCCCGAUUUUAUUAAUUUUUGCUCUCAUUUAAAGAGUAAAAAGAAGAGGAGGGCUAAAAAAGCCAGAAAAGAAUUAGCCUACUCCUAAACGCACCGUCUAGAAAGUAAGAAAAACACAGAGGAUAUGAUAUUUUUAAGAGGAAAAUUUCAUAAUUUAAAACUGGCCUUAAACCCUAAAAUGAGAAUUUGAGAAUUUACCUACAAGUGAAGAAGCAGAAAAUCAGUAAACAAUAACCAACAAAAUGAUUCCCUUGAGGAACUUAUUCCAGAGAAGAGUUCCAUUUAAACAAGGUACUGCUUGUUAUGCUUAUUCUACCAAUAAAGUCUUCGAUAUUGGGCAGCCAACUCCUGCGACUCAUCCCCAGUUGCUAAAGGAAGGAGAGAUCACUCCAGGCAUCAGUAAUGAGGAGUAUAUCUCAAGAAGGAAAAAGUUACUGGAAAUUCUUCCUGAGAAAAGUUUGGCCAUUAUUGCAGCUGCCCCGGUAAAGAUGAUGACUAGUGUUGUGCCUUACACAUAUCGACAAGAUGCUGAUUACUUGUAUAUCACUGGCUGCCAACAACCUGGUGGUGUGGCAGUUCUGGGUCAUGACUGUGGUUUAUGCAUGUUCAUGCCAGAAGCAACAAAACAUGACAUCAUUUGGCAAGGCCAAGUUGCGGGAGUUGAUGCAGCAUUAGAAACAUUCAAUGCUCAACAAGCAUAUCCGAUGAGCAAAUUGCAUGAUGUUCUUCCAGAUAUGCUAAGGAGAUGCUCCAGGUUGUUUCACAACAUACAGACAGCCACAAAGACAUAUACAGAACUGAAGGCAUUUCAAGAGGUAUUAUGCACUCGCUCAGUAGAAGACAUCUCUUGUUUAACCAAUGAGUUACGAUGGAUAAAAUCACCGGCGGAGCUUAAGUUGAUGAGAGAAUCUGCUUCAAUUGCUUGCCAGGCUCUUUUGCAGACAAUGCUACAUUCCAAGACAUAUCCCCAUGAGGGUAUGUUAGCAGCAAAAGUUGAAUAUGAAUGCAAAAUGAGAGGUGCUCAGAGGAUGGCAUUCAAUCCCGUGGUUGGCGGUGGAUCUAAUGGUAGUGUUAUACAUUAUUCCCGAAAUGAUCAGAAGAUUAGAGACGGUGACCUUGUUUUGAUGGAUGUUGGGUGUGAGUUGCAUGGUUAUGCCAGUGAUCUUACUCGUACUUGGCCACCCUGUGGUAGCUUCUCUUCAGCACAAGAGGAGCUCUAUGAUCUUAUACUUCAAACAAGUAAAUCAUGCACAGAUCUUUGCAAACCUGGUGCAAGCAUUUGGGAAAUACACAAUUAUUCGGUACCCUUGUUGGAGAACUAUACUUCCAUCUUCUUCCUUUUCUUUUCCUUCUCCUGGUGUGUCUUUUCGUUUUGCUUUUUCUGGAUGGUGGUGGUUGAACUGUUGCGUAAAGGACUUAAGGAGAUUGGGAUUUUAAGAAAUAUUGGAAGCAAUUCCUUCCAUCUACUGAACCCAACUUCUAUAGGUCAUUAUCUAGGAAUGGACGUCCAUGAUAGUUUUUCUGUCAGCUAUGAUUGCCCACUGAAGCCAGGUGUUGUGAUAACAAUUGAGCCAGGAGUGUACAUUCCAUCUACUUUUGAUGUUCCAGAGAGUUGUGGAGUGCAUGUUUGCUUUAAGCAAGCUUCCUACAAGAAGUUGCUUCUACAAAAAUAACCAGAGUGCGCUGAGGAAAGUUACUUGCAAAAUAAAUGCUGAAGCUGAGGUUGAUUGAUGGAUAACUUUAGAUUAGAAAAGUUGAACCUGUGCCUAAUUCGUUUUAUUUCUGUGACUUAUUGAAGUCUGAAUACUCUUACAUUGAAGCAGUAAUCAAGUGUCUUGAAGGACAAACAGGAUAACCUUUUUAUGCUACUCUUUCCAUUUUUCAGCUUCAGCAGGUUGUUACCAUGAUACAGGUGUUUUUUCUUGGCACCAUACUGCUGCCUUUCUUGUCUUAAGUCCGACUUACAAUCUUUGAAGUUUGAAAGUUAUUCUGUCAUCUGUUUCCUUUAUUUAUAUCUAUACAAGUUAAUUUAUGAUUUAUGGUGGGAUAAUACUCCUAGAGCAUUUAGAGGUUAUUUUCUGCUUUUGCACUUGUUAUGUACUGUUUAUAAUUCUAGAAUCCGUAUUUAUCUGUGUCCAAUAUGUCUAAUAUAGAUUUGUGGAUAAAUAAAAUGCACCUAUCUUAGCAUGAUAUGCUUAUUAGAUUCUUUACAUAAGUCACUGAAUAUUACCUCUUGCAGGUACCAAGGCAUUGGGAUAAGGAUUGAAGAUGAGGUCCUAAUCACAGAAACUGGUUAUGAGGUACUCACGGAUUCGAUGCCAAAAGAAGUAAGACACAUCGAGUCAUUGCUCAAUAACUACAGUCAUAAAGGAGGAAUGGAGAAAGAGG